UAACAUUCUCUCCACUGGUAGUGCAGUUAGUUGUUUAGUGCUUAUGUAGUGUUUUUGAGUAGGGCUUAUUUUGUAAUUCUCCUUAAUUGCUGUAUUUUUAAGAGUGCAUUUAGAUAAGUUUUUAAUGCUUUGUUUUUGCAGUUGGAGUUCAAUAAUCAAGACUCCUCAAACAUUCAUGCUAGCUGCAGAAGAUACACCAAUGAUAUAGAUGACAAAUUCCGUCCUCGCACUGUAACUUUGGUUAAAGAUAAAAA